AGUGAACGCUGGCGGUAGGCCUAACACAUGCAAGUCGAACGGCAGCACAGAGGAGCUUGCUCCUUGGGUGGCGAGUGGCGGACGGGUGAGGAAUACAUCGGAAUCUACUCUGUCGUGGGGGAUAACGUAGGGAAACUUACGCUAAUACCGCAUACGACCUACGGGUGAAAGCAGGGGGCCUUCGGGCCUUGCGCGAUUGAAUGAGCCGAUGUCGGAUUAGCUAGUUGGCGGGGUAAAGGCCCACCAAGGCGACGAUCCGUAGCUGGUCUGAGAGGAUGAUCAGCCACACUGGAACCGAGACACGGUCCAGACUCCUACGGGAGGCAGCAGUGGGGAAUAUUGGACAAUGGGCGCAAGCCUGAUCCAGCCAUACCGCGUGGGUGAAGAAGGCCUUCGGGUUGUAAAGCCCUUUUGUUGGGAAAGAAAUCCAUCUGGUUAAUACCCGGGUGGGAUGACGGUACCCAAAGAAUAAGCACCGGCUAACUUCGUGCCAGCCGCCGCCGUAA
rnacentral:rRNA from 1 species